UCUAGCUCCUCCCACCAGCCUCCACUGGCAGGUGUGUGUGUGUGUGUGCUAACGUUCUUACGUGUGUGUGUGUGGGGGCAGUUCAGUGUGCUUGCAGGUUAAUAUGCGCAUGUGCCUCUACUGUACAUGUGUCUAUUAAAGCAGAGUCAGUACUCAGAGAGAGACAGAGACAGACAGAGAGACAGAGAGAUAGACAGACAGACAGACAGACAGACAGACAGACAGACAGACAGACAGACAGACAGACAGACAGACAGACAGACAGACAGACAGACAGACAGACAGACAGACAGACAGACAGACAGACAGAGAGACAGAGAGACAGACAGACAGACAGACAGACAGACAGACAGACAGACAGACAGACAGACAGACAGACAGAGAGACAGACAGACAGACAGACAGACACCAUGUCUCCCUCCCAGUCCUCCCUACUGCUGCUGCUGAUGGUCUCCUGCUCCUGGGCCUCCCACUUCUUAGGAGGAACCAUGACCUUCAACCCCAGAGGGACCAACCCAGAUGGGACCUACAGGGUGGACCUUCGUUACAAGACAGCCUUCCACUAUUCCAUCUGUCUUUCUGAUACCUGGUGGUGUGUCAGUGGGGACUGUGGGAAUGAGACCAGUCUAGUGGUUAAGGGAGUGGACCAGGGGAUAUCUGAGGACUGGUGUCAGACAGAAGGAGUCAUGACUAGACACGUCUCCAUUAACACACAGACUUUUGAUCUGCGAUUGGAUAGCUGUUGCUGGAUAGACAAUGAUAAUGAUGUUUAUUUUUGGAGGCUGUUGACUCAUGUGGAUCUUGGGGUCAGGUCUGACACGGGGACAGUCAACCGAUCUCCACAGACCACUGUCAUACCUCUGAUGAGUGUCCCUGCUAAUUGUCAAAGAGAUUUCAACCUGUUGCUGUUUGAUCCAGAUGGGGAUAUGGUCAGAUGCAGAUACGCAGUACCAACGGAUGAGUGUUACACAUCAAGUGACCUUCCUAAUGACUUCACUCUACGAGAGAACUGCACCUUGUCAUUUUGGGGCAACAGUAAUACCACUGGAACAUAUGUAGUUCAGAUGGUGAUGGAGGAUUUCCCGACUCAGUCCAUCUCUCUCUCCUAUACUGACGGAUCUCAAUCUAACAGGACCUCAAACAAUACACUCUGCAAACUGCCUGUUCAGUUUGCAGUGAGAGUGGACCCCCCGGUGACAUCCUGUAUGGAGGGGCUGUACCUACCCAUGUUCCUGUCUCCAACACCAGCCCAGGGUGCACUGCUGUACGCCUCUGCAGACCAACCCCUGGAAAUCACUGUCAGAGCACAGGCUACCAACUCCACGGUUUCAGAGCUGUUGGUGAGUGGACCUUCCGGUAUCACAGAGAACACCACUGAUCCAGGAGAGUACCUUCUAAGAUGGACGCCCACUGAGGAUGAGGAGGGAGGGUACUAUCCUGUGUGCUUCAUCGCUCAGGGAGUGAACGACAGUUCCACGUACCACUCUGAGCUGCGCUGUGUGAUCGUCAGGGUUGGAAACACAAGCGGAGACGUUGUUGUACUGAGGACAAAAGUGUCCGCUCUGAUCCCACUGACAGAUAAUUACAUCAGAAACAUGGUGUUUCAGCAGCUCCGUGAGGAACUGAUCAGACUAGGGCUGCCAGGGGACUUCACGCUACGCCUGUUAGCCACUCAUGACAUCAGUCCCUGAGGGAGGAACAGGAAAUCAGCUCGACUUUCUUCACUUCUACUUGUCUUUUCUUCCUGGUUCUGAUUCUGCAGAUAGUUCUUUUGAAGAAGGAGUGAUUCCUUAUAAUGACAGAAUACGGUUGAUUUGUAAUAAUCUCCUGUGGGUUGCCAAGAUUAGUUGAAUUAACUGACACUACGUCUUACUGGAUGUUAGUUGAAUGAUUUAAAAGUAAAUGAUUUAUGUCUACAAGAAGAAAUGCAACAUAAAUAUGAUUGGUAAUGUACAGAGGUAGACUGAGGUUCUUUCCUGUUUGGUAAUGUACAGAGGUAGACUGAGGUUCUUUCCUGUUUGGUAAUGUACAAAGGUAGACUGAGGUUCUUUCCUGUAGACAGGUUAUUAAACAUUGGGAGAUAUAAUGUUGUUUUCCUUAAGGUGUGAAUCAUAUAGACUGUGUUUGAUUAGGCUUAGAGGACAAGGCCUUAGGAGGUUGAUAAUGAGACGUUAUAAUGGUAAAAUGUUAUAAUGUUGAAAUGUUUAAAAUAUUGAUGUAUUGAGAUAUAACUUGAGUAAUAAAUUAGGUUGUAGAAAGACUAUAAUUUAGUUAAAGGUAGGAGGGUGAAGGGAAUAGGAAAGUUUCAUGUUUGAAAAAUGUAUGUUUUAAGAAGUUGAUGUUCAUGAAGUAUAUUAAGGGUGCUAGCUUGAUCUGGAAAUCCCCAGGUCAGAGCAGCAAGUAGGUUGAAGCGUACGUUCUGCCUAGGUGGGAAAACGUGGAGGUUAGUGGGGGCUGAAAAAGCACCUUUUGAGAAGAUGGAUGCAUUCAUUAGGUGUUAACCACCGAAGGCAUCAGUGGAGCAGGUGGUCAUCCUGAUGAUUUAUCAGAAGAGGCAUUAAGGGUAUAAAGGAAGCAGGUUUCAUGGGAAGGGAAUGACUCUCUUUGAGUUUGCUAGAAGAACCUGUCGUCUGCUGGAGAAAGACUUUUACUGAAGCUUUUUAACUUCAGAUUCAUUUAGAUUUUUAAUAUACUUGGUUUUUUAUUCUGAAAGUGUUCUAGUACAUUCUAGGAGGAACCCUGAAUGUUACCUCAUUGAUAGGAGUGUUCUAGUACAUUCUAGGAGGAACCCUAAAGGUUACCUCAUUGAUAGGAGUGUUCUAGUACAUUUUAGGAGGAACCCUGAAGGUUACCUCAUUGAUAGAAGUGUUCUAGUACAUUUUAGGAGGAACCCUGAAGGUUACCUCACUGAUAGGAGUGUUCUAGUAGCUGUUAGUUUUUUAGACACCAACUGAGGGACUGAGAAACCUGAAGGGGGAGACAAAAAUCUGUUUAUAAUUUGUAGAAGGUAAGAACUUGUUUUUCUUGUUAUUGAACACUGUGCUUCUCAUAAAAUUGUUAUAGACCAAACAUAUUUUAUUGACACACACUAAUAAGGGUUUAGAUAAGGGUUUAGUUAUGGGCGCUGAAGGCAUCUCUCAAUUUAAUCCAAGUUAUAUUUUUGCUUAUCAUCGAUUGGGGAUAUUGAUUUAUGAUUGAUUGAUUGAUCUGUGAUUUUUAAUGCC
rnacentral:lncRNA from 1 species